UACGGAGGGGACUAGCGUUGUUCGGAAUUACUGGGCGUAAAGCGCACGUAGGCGGAUUUGUAAGUCAGGGGUGAAAUCCCGGGGCUCAACCUCGGAACUGCCUUUGAUACUGCAAAUCUCGAGUCCGGAAGAGGUGAGUGGAAUUCCAGGUGUAGCGGUGAAAUGCGUAGAUAUCUGGAGGAACACCGGUGGCGAAGGCGGCAUCCUGGACCGGUAUUGACGCUGAGGCGCGAAAGCCAGGGGAGCAAACGGG
rnacentral:rRNA from 1 species